AGAGUUUGAUCAUGGCUCAGAAUCAACGCUGGCGGCGUGCCUAACACAUGCAAGUCGAACGAGAAAGUGGAGCAAUCCAUGAGUACAGUGGCGUACGGGUGAGUAACACGUGGGUGAUCUACCUCUUAGUGAGGAAUAACCCUGGGAAACCGGGGCUAAUACCGCAUAAGCCUGAGAAGGGAAAGCAGCAAUGCGCUGAGAGAGGAGCCCGCGGCCGAUUAGCUAGUUGGUGAGGUAAAAGCCCACCAAGGCAGAGAUCGGUAGCCGGCCUGAGAGGGCACACGGCCACACUGGCACUGAAACACGGGCCAGACUCCUACGGGAGGCAGCAGUGGGGAAUCUUGCACAAUGGAGGAAACUCUGAUGCAGCGACGCCGCGUGAGCGAUGAAGCCCUUCGGGGUGUAAAGCUCUUUCGACGGGAACGAUAAUGACGGUACCCGGAGAAGAAGCUGCGGCUAACUACGUGCCAGCAGCCGCGGUAAUACGUAGGCAGCAAGCGUUGUUCGGAAUUACUGGGCGUAAAGAGUGUGUAGGCGGUUCUCUAUGUUCGGUGUGAAAUCUCCCGGCUUAACUGGGAGGGUGCGCCGAAAACUGGAGGGCUUGAGUAUGGGAGAGGAAAGCGGAAUUCCUGGUGUAGCGGUGAAAUGCGUAGAUAUCAGGAGGAACACCUGCGGUGUAGACGGCUUUCUGGACCAUCACUGACGCUGAGACACGAAAGCGUGGGUAGCAAACAGGAUUAGAUACCCUAGUAGUCC
rnacentral:rRNA from 1 species